AAAAAAAAAAAAAAAAGACCAAUCUAGUGACUGUCUUAGAACAAUGCCAAGUGUAUCAAAGCCCAUUUCUUCUGCAGCUGACUAAUAUACCUGAUGCAUCCUAGAAAAGCUGGCCUACCUGCUUCCCCCAGAGACACAGUCCUGCUGGCUCUCCUUGAGGUUUGAUGGCAACAGUCCCCUUGCUGAAGCCACAUUGACCCUGCUCUAGUGAAAGGCCAUGUAAGGCACCUGAGAGCCUUUAAUGGAAUCCUGAAAGAACCACCAAACUCUCCUUUGCACAAAGGACAUGCUCUGUGGACCCUACAGUCUACAGCACCAUGGAAGGUAAUCAUAAGAGCAUUUUCAAUUUAGUAUUUUGAAACCAUACAUUAACAGUGAGUUAGCUGAUGGUAAUAUGGUUCCUCUUCUCUUAAAGUUACAGGCAAGGCUUUUAAGCCACCUAAGAAUUUCACUCCUGAAGCUGGUAAGGGGACCUGGAGAAUCAGUAAGUUUAAAUGAGACUGGAAACACAUUUGUUUAAACUAGAGACCCACUGGGCCAGGGAAAAAGUGCAAAUGUGCUCACAGCUAGUGACGAAAAUUACCCCACAAAUUUAAGCAGCCAGAGAGAAGAUCCAAGGAAUGGAUAUCUUUAAACCCAUGGAUGGUGAAGGACAAGACAAACAAUUGGGGUCAUGGACUUUUCUUCCUCCAAAGCUGUAACAGAUGUGGCUACAGCAGAGUCAUGAGUGUGCAGCUGCUGCCUGGACCCUGAUGGCUGUGCCCGUGCUCAUUACCAGAGGUCCCUGCUGACCCCUCAGUUCUAGAAAGCACAAUAAGUAAUGGUCUAAAUCCACUUCAAGCCUGUGUGCAGAUUACCCUGAGAGCAGCGUGGGGAUGGUGAUAAAGUCUGUGCUCGGGUGUGUCCUCUGACAGUUCAACUUUGACUUCAUCAAGCCAUUAAAGGUUUUGGGAAGACAUCUGAUAAAAGCAGCUGUUCUCCCCUGAAAGGAUUGACACCACAGAUGCACUUAAUAAUGUUUUUGUUUUCCUGCAGAAGUUGUAAAGGGGGACAGAGAAGAAGGGCAUGUCAAGAUCAAAGCUUUCCUUCCUUUUCUGAUGCAGCAACCAAGUUGAACAGUGAAUUGAUAUGAGCAGCAGGAGACUUCUAAGCUCAGUGGCAUUAAAAGAAGAAAAAGAAAAAAGUAGUCUGGGGACACUCUGAUCCCAGAAGCUCCUGAUCUCCAUCAGUCCCAAAGUAAACAAGAGGGGACAAAAGUCCAGCACUCUCUGCCCACGUGGAUGUCUUCUGUUCAGUGGAAGAAGAAACGGAUGAAACCCAAGGCUGGGACCUCGGCAGCCAUGGUGGGGUGAGGGUGAUGUAUCUGUGCUGCCUUCCCAUGGCAGAGGCUCUGUGGUGGGACCUGACCUCUCUGCACUGCUGCCACAGUCGCUCGCUGCCGCUCUGGCAUGAAAGGACGGCGUGUGAUGAAUCUGUUUGCUCUUGGCUCAUUCUGUAAGAGGCUGGAAGUAGAAGUGCUGAUGCCUGCCAUGUGUAACCCCGCUGUAAGCUCUGCCCUGUGAGCCUUGCUUCUGUCUAACUGGAUGGUGCCAAGGUCCAGAGAAGACAGGGAAGACAGAGCUAAUCUCACCCUCCCAGAAGCUCUGGAGAGAGAAGGAUCACCUGAGCAGAGACAAACUGCUGGUUCAUUCGACUGUUUCCAGGAGGAGAAAACACUUGCCAAGAUUAACUGAGAAAUCCUGAACUGCCCAACAGCCAGCUAAGCUAUGAAGAGCCUGCACACCAGUGUAACAAUAUUUUUUGUUCCAUCUUCACCCAUUGCAGACAGGAUUGUGCCCCUCCCAUCCACUGGACCCUGCUUAGUUUUUGCGGAUCAACUGAGAUCAGUAAAUCUCAGGGCCACAACUCAGCAGCCUCAAAGUGCAGCUUGUUAGAAGUACUAUGAGGUCUCUCAGCUCCCUGUGGUGAGUAGUGGAGCAGACUUGAGUCCACAAAAAUAUGGACAUAUUUUAGCUAUGACCACCCUCUUUAGGGACUGAAGGCAACAGAUAUAUGUUCAAUGGGAAUAAAUGCUUAUUCACAAAUAAAGUUCAGGUAAACUGCAGAGGGAUCUAUCUGCAGGUGCUGGCAGGAUGGAUAACUUCUCCUGAGGCUGCACCUGGAGCCACUAUUGCAGACCAAGGUCUGGGAUUAAAAAAACACUCAGUACUUAUCUGGUAUUUUUUCAAUCUGCAGACUUUAAAGUAUCAUCCCCACUUUCCAGAUGUGAGAAGCCAGCCACAAAGAACUAGUUCAGUGUUGCUGCAUCCUCUACCAUCUUCACAAGCUGAACUUUGUCCUUGUCCAACACCCCUUCUCUGUCCAAGUGCAAAUGACAGGCCCAAGACACAGCAACCAAAUGCUAUCAGCACUUUCAAUUUUCUGUCAUCUUGCCUUUUUAUUAAGGGGGAAAAUGGGAUUUAUUUUUCAGCACUGGUUCCUGGUACAGCUCUUUCAGAGAGAGAAUUUCAGAACAAGAUAUAUCUCCAAAUAUUUAUCCUCCCCGAGGUUUCUAGUCCUUUCUGUUACAGUAAGUAAACAGAUUAAAUUGGAGACUCAAGGUCCAGAUUGAGAAACUGUGGCAGUAAGGAAUGCUGGAAUAAGUAGAUUACAGAUAUUCAAAACAUGCAGUUUAGGUUUACACCUUUCCCUCCUUGUCAUUUCUUCUCUGAACAGCAUUGGGGAGAUUCACCUUUGGAUGUAACUUCCAUAGCAACUUGGUGUCUAUGAGAAAUCAGUAACAAACAUUUGGCACUGCCUAUUGCAAAAUAUUUAGCAUGUUCUGCAGUAAUGGAUAUAGCUUUCUGUUUAUUAAAACAACUACCUUAAAUGCCACUGAGAUCUCACAGAAAGAGUUAAGUACAGUCAGAGCACUCCAAGAUGUAGCAGGAUUUAAAAAAUCACUUGAAGUAUGAAAUAGAAGGGUUGCAUGUGUUGGUCUGGUUUUUGAUUUAAUAAUAUGAGUUUGCUACAGCCCCGAAAAUCAACCUGUAUCUUACUGAAAAGAAAAAACAAACCAUAAAGUUCACUGAUCUUAUAAAGCUCAUACCAAAAAAAUAGAAAUUAGAUUGAAUUUUUUUUUUAAUAUUGGUUCAGUGCAGACAAGAGAAGUGUGAGAAGCAAACAGUUUAUCUGGAAUAGGUGGACAAUAUUAAGAUAACCAGUCCAAUUUGGAGAAGUAGCAUCAAGAAGCUGGUUUGUGGCUAUUGGUACAGCUUAAAUGAAGUACUACAAAUCUGCCUACCUGUUUCAGCCUACCACAACUUACUCUUGGUACUAAAAAUAACUAGAAACACAGCAGAGAAAGUGAAGGAAAAUGUGAAGGAAAACAAGUAGUCUGAGAAAUUCCAUUAAAAAACCUCCAAAUAGUAACAAAACCACAGCCUGCCUGGAAACAGCCCUCUGGGUUUGAAUGGCAUGUGCUAAAGCAGCCUGGUACCUCCACAUCAGUUCAAAGACAAAUGAAUGGUCUAAAAUGUCUGUCCAUGGAUGACAAGAGAAAACAAACGCUGGUAAAGUUGUUCCCUCCAAGGAAGCAAGUGAAAUCAGAGCCUGGCACUGGUGUUAGACAGUGAAGGGGAAGGAAUACAGAGAAGGAAAAAAAAUGAUACUUAGCAAAAAUACUGCUCCUCUAUCUCUGGGCUGAAGAGCUUCCUUGGAGAAACUCUUGCUUUUGAUGGCAGAGGAUGAUAUCUCUUUGGGACAAGACAGGAAAGGAAAACAGCAAAGUCUGUGAUAGAUUAAAACUACUAAACAAAAGAGACUGCUUGGGGAAUUAAUAUUUAUGAAAUGCAAAAAAGAUUGUAGUAAAAUAAGAGAUAACACAGAUCUGGUAAAAGCAAAGUUGUUCUGAAUUAAAAAAAAAAAACAACCACAGACGCAGAGCCUGCAAUCUGGAGCUGUACUAUCAAAAAACCAAUUCCCCACUGUCUUAGGCAAUGUCAAAACAAAAACCCCCACACACAGGCCUGGUUCAAAAGCUAUUGAAGUUAAUAAAAAUUUCCUCUUGAUUUCCAAAUGCUUUGAAAAUGUGACUCCUUGGGAAUUUCUGAUGUUGUUAAGAGACAUAUACCAACACUAUCACCCCUGAAAGAAAUCCUACAGCUCACACCAUGUUACACAGAGAUUCCAUAGGACAGAAGGGGUACAGCCAGAAGUCACCCAGCUUCUCUGCUCAGUAGAGGAUGAUGGUUCAUCCCAAAUCCUGCUGUAGGGCAUUAGGGAGUGUUACGUGCAGUGUUAUGGAGAUGAUUAUUGUUGAAACUGUAUAUGGGAGUUACUGCACCAGUAGCUUCUUAAAACCUUUGAAAAUUUUCCCCAUCAGAGCUGUGACCUAGAAAAGAUGUUUUCACUUCCUGCUGUGGAGUAUCAUAGUGUACCAUACUCAAUGCAGCGCCUGGUCUUGUUUUUGAAGGACAUUUGCUUUAAGGGAGGAAAGUAUUCUAUAAUCCUGAUGCACUUCUCUGUUGAGAAACAUUUCUUUUGAUAUUCUUCUACAGUUAGGCUCCUUUCCCAACCCAUCUCCCCUUAAAUAUACCCAGAAGAUCAUGAAUGUGGAAAUGUGUCAGAAAAGGCUGAAUGAAAACCACUGUGAAAACCUAAAUUCUGAGUUAGUUGCUCUGUAUGUGCAUUUCUUGGAUGGGGCUUUCAUUUUUGGUAGGGUUGUUUUUCAUUUCCAGGCCAUGGUUUGUUCUGGUUUAUGCCCAAGAACUUGCACUAACAAAGCCUGAUGGUUCUGUGAAAGGAGUAUAAACAUAGAUGCUGAUCACCUGAGAAGGCAAAUCUGUACAGGCAACUGCUCUUGGAAAUACUGGCUUCUUUCUGGGCAAGAAAGUGUAAGCAUUCAGAGGGAAAUGCCAAGUCACAGGGCAUUUCAGACUUAUUAAUAUAAUUUAGAAAGAAAAAGAAAAUCCACACUGGGCUAUUAGCAACAAUCAGGUGUUAGAGUGCAGGGAAGAGGCAUAAAACACUGCAUUAAAUUACAACAGUUUUGCUCUACCUCAGAAUAUAAAGUUUAUUUAAUGGCUCC